rnacentral:rRNA from 1 species
UGGUGGAGUGACUUGUCUGGUUAAUUCCGUUAACGAACGAGACCUUAACCUGCUAAAUAGUUGCAUGAACUCUGGUUCAUGAUCAACUUCUUAGAGGGACUAUAGACGUUUAGUCUAUGGAAGUUUGAGGCAAUAACA